rnacentral:pre_miRNA from 1 species
AGUGGGAUAGCUGGGUCAAAUGGUGGUUCCAUUUCAAGUUUUCUAAGGAAUCUCCAUACUUCUUUCUAUAUUGGCUGUACCGAUUUGCAGUACCACCAGCAAU